GAAGAUGCUAAUAAAGAAGGUUAUGAUGCGAGUGAUGAUGAAGAUACAACCAGCGGUGAUAAAGACUGAAGUUAUUUGUGUCUUCUGUGGAUUUUUUUUGUGCUUCUGGCUGUUUUUUUUUUCUAUAUGUGGUUUAUGCCCUGAAUAUUUAUGCACUUUGUGUUUUCUUGGUCUGUAACUUAACUAUUUGAUUGCUCUGUUACAUCUAUUUUGACUUGCUUAACAUUGAUGUGUGUCAAUCUUUUGGCUAAAUAUGGGGAGUAAUGGAUGUUG
rnacentral:lncRNA from 1 species